rfam:Heterocephalus glaber contig110034, whole genome shotgun sequence.
AUGGGCAGCCAUAGCACCCUGAAUGUGCCCGAUCUCGUCUGAUCUCUGAAGCUAAGCAGGGUUGGGCCUGGUUAGUAUUUGGAUGGUAGACAAAUGCUUUGUGCUUAUAUC